UUCGCAAUGCCCGAAAGGGUGACGAAGCGACGCCGCGUGUGGGAAGAAGGCCUUCGGGUUGUAAACCACUGUCGGGAGUUAAGAAAUGCAAGGAUAUUAAUAGUAUCUUUGCUUGACUAAGGCUCCGGAGGAAGCCACGGCUAACUCUGUGCCAGCAGCCGCGGUAAUACAGAGGCGGCAAGCGUUGUUCGGAAUUAUUGGGCGUAAAGAGCACGUAGGCGGCUAUGUAAGUCGGUUGUGAAAGCCUUCCGCUCAACGGAAGAACAGCAUCCGAUACUGCAUGGCUUGAGUGCGGGAGGGGAGAGUGGAACUUCUGGUGGAGCGGUGAAAUGCGUAGAUAUCAGAAGGAACGCCGGCGGCGAAAGCGGCUCUCUGGCCCAUAACUGACGCUGAGUGUGCGAAAGCUAGGGGAGCAAACGGGAUUAGAUACCCCGGUAGUCCUAGCCGUAAACGAUGGGCACUAAGUAGAGGGGUUUU
rnacentral:rRNA from 1 species